CGACGAUGACGACGAGAACGAGGACGAGGAGUUCAGCACACCAUCCCCCUCUUCCUCCUCGUCAACCACGAGCAAUUAGCCUACGUCAGGACCUCAAAACAAAAUCCAUUCUUCAAAAACAAAAAAAGGAAAAGAAAAAUCUAGAUACCUAAAAAAAGGAAAAGAAAAAUCUAGAUACCUGUGAUGUGGUGGUUUUUUUUGCUAGUUUGUCCUAAGGGGAGGGCGGGGCCCACUUUGUAAAUACAAAAGGUUAUCACUUUGAAAAUGUUUAGUGUGUGACGAUGAAAUGUAAGUAUAUAUACGUACCAUAUACGUCCAUACCAG
rnacentral:lncRNA from 1 species